CUGAUUAGAAAAACACUGGUUAAUUCGGAAAAUCUCUUUAGUUCCAUGUUAAAUCCCAUGAAACCAAAUUGUUCUGGAGAAGCAAGGAGCAAAUGACAGUUUUCAGUUGGUCUUUGAGACUUUUCUAAAGUUGUGAUUCUGUUUUCUCUUUUUUUAUUUGGGUCUAAAACGGUCACAAACUUGGUAGGGCGGUUAAAUUUUUUGGUUCAAAAUUUGACAAGAUAUUUGAAAUUUCUUUUAAAUAGUUCACUCUGUUCAUAAGUAAGUUGGGAUAAGUUUUUCUAGAUGGCAUUCAGGAUUGAACAAGAAUUUUCUAUUUGAAGUUUCUAGGUAAGGUUUAUUUCUCUUAACAUUUAUAUAUAAUGUUACGAUGUACUAGAGCGCCAUCUGUAUAUUAAUAUUACGCCUCUAAAAUAGUUUUACAAUUUAUAUAUAACUUAACAUACUGAUAUCUAUAGGAAUAAAUGUUACUGAGUAAACUUUUUUAAUGUUUUAUGUUCAGGAAUCAAAUUUUAAAGAUUUGGUUUUGAAGUUGGAAAUAGUGUGUCACGUAAAAUGUUUUUUUUUUUUUUUUUAAUCUUCAUUCGUACUUUCGUUUAUCUGAAAUCACGUUUUCUUUCUUCGGAUAAUCAGGCUUAUUGCGUACAUACUCUGCAAUGUUUGACAUUGCUGUCUGGUAGUGUGACAUGGAUUAAUGAAUAUAUAUUUAUAGAGGGUUUAUUCACACUACAAAGAUCCCAACAAAUGAGGACUGGUAUAACCAGAAAAGUAUUUAUUCCAAUAUGAAGAUCUCAGUAUAUAAGGUAGGCAUGUGGACUAUCAGACUUUCUUUGCAAGCGCGGCAUUUCUAUACAGCUCCAUCCUAAUUUUAUAUUCACUCAAUUUGUCACAUCACUCUGAAAAUUCCAGAACUACUUACAUAAAAGAGGUCUAUCAUAAACCCCCCGAAUUGUUCCUGUGGAGAAACUGAACAAACUACGCUCCACCUUAUCUAUGACUGUCCUAACUUUACAGAAGUGAGACAUCGAUUGUUCCUUGAUCUAAAUGAUUUAACUCUCUUACAUCAGCCACUUUGUUUAUAUACAUUUAAUGAACUCUUUCGCUUUAUAUAUAUGUAAAUCUGUAAAUAUUUGAACCUGUUUCAGUUUGGGUUUUUAUUUUCUUUGUUAUAGGCGCAAAUAAUGCAAAAUUGGUUCUUGUUUAUUAAUAAAUAAAAUUAAAAAAAGUGGUGUAAUUCAAGUGAAGAGAGGCAAAGGUGUUGUCAACACUCGGGUUGAUUAGACACCACCACCACACAGAAGGAACCGUGGGGGCGUCGUGUUGUAAUCCUACGUGACGAAACUGGGAGAAACCACCGUCGUCAUUCUUACAGUACUGGAGGUACAGGUCUCUCUUUGUGGUCACGUCAGGUUAGUUACAUAACUACUUGUCUUUUAGACUACUUCUCUACACACUACGAUAACCUUGCUGUCAUGUUAUUCUUUGUUUAACUCACUUCUGGUCAGGUUAGUUACAUAACUACUUGUCUUUUAGACUACUUCUCUACACACUACGAUAACCUUGCUGCCAUGUUAUUCUUUCUUUGUUUAGCUCACUUCUGGUCAGGUUAGUUACAUAACUACUUGUCUUUUUGACUACUUCUCUACACACUACGAUAACCUUGCUGCCAUGUUAUUCUUUCUUUGUUUAGCUCACUUCUGGUCAGGUUAGUUACAUAACUACUUGUCUUUUUGACUACUUCUCUACACACUACGAUAACCUUGCUGCCAUGUUAUUCUUUGUUUAGAUCACUUCUGGUCAGGUUAGUUACAUAACUACUUGUCUUUUACACUACUUCUCUACACACUACGAUAACCUUGCUGUCAUUUAAUUCUUUCUUUGUUUAGAUCACUUCUGGUCACGUUAGUUACAUAACUACUUGUCUUUUUGACUACUUCUCUACACACUACGAUAACCUUGCUGUCAUGUUAUUCUUUCUUUGUUUAACUCACUUCUGGUCAGGUUAGUUACAUAACUACUUGUCUUUUUGACUACUUCUCUACACACUACGAUAACCUUGCUGUCAUGUUAUUCUUUGUUUAGAUCACUUCUGGUCAGGUUAGUUACAUAACUACUUGUCUUUUAGACUACUUCUCUACACACUACGGUAACCUUGCUGUCAUGUUAUUCUUUGUUUAGAUCACUUCUGGUCAGGUUAGUUACAUAACUACUUGUCUUUUAGACUACUUCUCUACAUACUACGAUAACCUUGCUGUCAUGUUUUUCUUUGUUUAGAUCACUUCUGGUCAGGUUAGUUACAUAACUACUUGUCUUUUAGACUACUUCUCUACACACUACGAUAACCUUGCUGUCAUGUUAUUCUUUGUUUAGAUCACUUAUGGUCACGUUAGUUACAUAACUACUUGUCUUUUAGACUACUUCUCUACACACUACGGUAACCUUGCUGUCAUGUUAUUCUUUCUUUGUUUAGAUCACUUCUGGUCAGGUUAGUUACAUAACUACUUGUCUUUUAGACUACUUCUCUACAUACUACGAUAACCUUGCUGUCAUGUUUUUCUUUGUUUAGAUCACUUCUGGUCAGGUUAGUUACAUAACUACUUGUCUUUUAGACUACUUCUCUACACACUACGAUAACCUUGCUGUCAUGUUAUUCUUUGUUUAGAUCACUUCUGGUCAGGUUAGUUACAUAACUACUUGUCUUUUAGACUACUUCUCUACACACUACGGUAACCUUGCUGUCAUGUUAUUCUUUGUUUAGAUCACUUCUGGUCAGGUUAGUUACAUAACUACUUGUCUUUUACACUACUUCUCUACACACUACGAUAACCUUGCUGUCAUGUUAUUCUUUCUUUGUUUAGAUCACUUAUGGUCACGUUAGUUACAUAACUACUUGUCUUUUACACUACUUCUCUACACACUACGAUAACCUUGCUGUCAUGUUAUUCUUUCUUUGUUUAGAUCACUUCUGGUCAGGUUAGUUACAUAACUACUUGUCUUUUAGACUACUUCUCUACACACUACGAUAACCUUGCUGUCAUUUCAUUCUUUCUUUGUUUAACUCACUUCUGCUCAGGGUCGUAAUUGCAUUGGUAUUUCUCAGGAUUCAGACAAUAACUCUGAAAGAUAUCACGGUGACCUUUAUUGAAGAUACACGAUAUAACCAAUAUACACUCAUGGACAAAACUUAAGGAAGUUGUGCCUUCUAGCAUGUAUAUCGGGAUCCAGACAAUAACUCUGAAAGAUAUUACAGUGACCUUUAUUGAAGACACACGAUAUAACCAGUAUACACUCAUGGACAAAACUUAAGGAAGUUGUACCUUUUAUCAUGUAUAUCAGGAUUCAGACAAUAACUCUGAAAGAUAUUACAGUGACCUUUAUUGAAGACACACGAUAUAACCAGUAUACACUCAUGGACAAAACUUAAGGAAGUUGUACCUUUUAUCAUGUAUAUCAGGAUUCAGACAAUAACUCUGAAAGAUAUUACAGUGACCUUUAUUGAAGACACACGAUAUAACCAGUAUACACUCAUGGACAAAACUUAAGGAAGUUGUACCUUUUAACAUGUAUAUCGGGAUUCAGAUAAUAACUCUGAAAGAUUUUACAGUGACACACACACACACCUUUAUUGAAGUCACACAAGAUAACCAAGUAUGUAUAGCCUCUGUCUCCUUCAAAUAAAGAGUAUUUCAAAGUUAGAGAGUUCACUUAAAUGUAGCAUUUCUCGGUUUAGAUAUCCUCGAGUCAUUCUUCUCUGCGGUUUCUCAGUCGGAUAACGUUCAGCUACACACGACAAUAUGUUAAACUAUGACCUCUCCCUACCUAAUUAAAACUAAUCCAAACUAACUAGAAUUCUAAAAAUUAGUUAACAAUGAAUAGAGAAUGUACUAAGUAAUUAAAACUACAUAAAAGAAGUCUCUUAUUUGUCCUUCUUUUUUAACUUUUGAAUAGAAUUUUUUUUUUUAAGAUUUAGUAAUUAACAGUCUUUACAUGAUUACAUUGAGUUUCUUUUUUGACGAAAAUGUGAUUAAAAUAUAUAAAACAGAGUUUUUUUAUAUUUAGAUUCUAUGUACAGUAGAAUUGAUGAAUAAUAAUGUGCUUAUACAUCACGUAGUAUAUUUAGAACGGUGUAUACAAUCCGGAUGCCCGCCGACACGCUUCGUGGACCAAUUAAAGAAACUCACUGGUUUAACGGUCAUCGAGAUGGUACAUAGAGCUCAAGACAGAUGGCUGGUGUCGCAUCGUGUUUGGGAUGUAAUAGUGGGCCACAACGUUCGAUCGCGAAUAAAAUAAUAUUACUAUACAAUUAUAGGCUUUGGUAUUUUCCUAUGUGAUUGGACAUCUUUGAGAAAAGUAGCAAGUAUUAGUUUUAUAGGUUGUAUUUCUAGGCUAAAAUAACAGUACGAUGGCAAAUAUAAUCGUCUGCAAUCAUCUUGUUUCAUUCUCUAUUAUCGUUUGAGAUGACUUAGCAGAUAGAAUUUUUCAGGAUUUCUUAACUACCAGUUAUAUUUCGUCGUUCGGGUACAGAUUGCACCACGCUGAUGAGGGGCAAAAGCCUUAAACGUGUACAUGGUUAGCUUUUCUUGAUUAAUGAAGAAAUGGUAUCAUGGUAUAUGGUUGACAUGUUGCUAAUUACGUAUAAGUAAUCCUAAAUUAACAGAUUUGAGCUAAUGGAUACAAUACUCAUUUUGUUGAAGAAUGCUUGUUUAUGUAAUUACUUGGGUUUAAAACAUGUUGUAUAGACAGCAAGUAUGUAAAUAUUAUAGAAAGGUUCAGACUGAGAGGAACAGGUGAUUCUUGGAAGUGCGACAAUCCCGGAUGAAUGCUGUACUACGGAGGAACAGGACGUGGAGGUAAGUCCAACCUUGGGACUGCGGACGGCGAUGGCUGGACUAUGAGGUAGGUGAAGGAGGAGGUGCCGGGGAUCUCAGGGUUUGUACGUCCUGCGGCAGGUGCCUGGGACUGAUGUUGGAAGUCAGGUACCUGAAGUAGUGCGCAACAAACCUUGGGCUAGACGUCGUGGGACAAAGGUAGGUUCCUCUCUGCGGUGUCGUGGGACAAAGGUGGGUUCCUCUCUGCGGUGUCGUGGGACAAAGGUAGGUUCCUCUCUGCGGUGUCGUGGGACAAAGGUAGGUUCCUCUCUGCGGUGUCGGGGGACAAAGGUAGGUUCCUCUCUGCGCUGUCGUGGGACAAAGGUAGGUUCCUCUCUGCGCUGUCGUGGGACAAAGGUAGGUUCCUCUCUGCGGUGUCGUGGGACAAAGGUGGGUUCCUCUCUGCGGUGUCGUGGGACAAAGGUAGGUUCCUCUCUGCGGUGUCGUGGGACAAAGGUAGGUUCCUCUCUGCGCUGUCGUGGGACAAAGGUGGGUUCCUCUGCGCUGUCGUGGGACAAAGGUAGGUUCCUCUCUGCGCAGUCGUGGGACAAAGGUGGUUCCUCUCUGCGCUGUCGUGGGACAAAGGUAGGUUCCUCUCUGCGCUGUCGGGGGACAAAGGUAGGUUCCUCUCUGCGCUGUUGUGGGACAAAGGUAGGUUCCUCUCUGGGCUGUCGUGGGACAAAGGUGGGAUUCUAACCGCGGACAAAGGUGAGUUUCUCACUUCUGUUUUCUCUCUUGGGACAAAGAUAACUUGUUCCUUCUCUUACUGCGGUGUCCUGUCUUGGGAUAAAAGUGAGUUUCUUACUGUUGUGUUCUGUGGUGAGACAAAGAUGAGUUUCUUACUGCGGUGUUCUGUGGUGAGACAAAGGUGAGUUUAUCACCGCGGUGUCCUGUCAUGGGACAAAGGUGAGUUUCUUACUGUUUUGUUCUGUCGUGGGACAAAGAUAAAUUGUUUCUCCUCUCACUUCGGUGUUCUGUCAUGGGACAAAGGGGAGUUUAUCACCGCGGUGUUCUUUCGUGGGACAAAGGUGAGCUUCUUACUCCGUGUUCUAUCGUGAGACAAAGGUAAGUGUAUCACUGUUGUGUCCUGUUGUGUGAAACAAAUAAAACUUGUUCCUCCUCUCACCGCGGUGUUCUUUCGUGGGACAAUGGUGAGUUUCUUACUGUCGUGUUCUGUUGUGAGAGAAAGAUGAGUUUAUCACUGCUGUGUUCUUUCGUGGGAAUAAGGUGGGCUUCUUAUUGUCGUGUUCUUUCAUGGGACAAUGGUGAGUUUCUUACUGUCGUGUUCUGUUGUGGGAGAAAGGUGAGUUUAUCACUGCUGUGUUCUUUCGUGGGAAUAAGGUGGGCUUCUUACUGCCGUGUUCUUUCAUGGGACAAAGAUAACUUGUUUCUUCUCUCACCGCGGUGUUUUCUGUCAUGGGGCAAAGGUGAAUUUAUCACCCUUGUCGUUGGGCAAAAGUGAGUUUAUCAUGGUUGUGUUCUGUUUUGGAACAAAGGCAGGCUUCUCACCGCGGUAUCCCGACAUCGAUGGACAAAGAUGGGAAUUACAUCUGUCCUAUGUUAGAUAUCGCAAUUCAAGAUAAAAGUUCAAAAGCGAACCAGUUAAUAAGAUUCAACCAGAGUCCCACAUGUCAUGGCAUACCGUAAUGUUCUUUCUUCUUAUAUGGACAUCUUAAUUUGUCGAUAGGUAUAGAGAUUAAAUAUAAAAUGAUUUUUAUCAAAUCACUCGCAGUUCUAAUUAAUAAAGAGGGCGAAGAUUUUAAAAUAAUCGAUGAUUCAUAUACGUUUUGAAAGCGAUAAGUUUUGAACAAAGUUCUGCAAUAUAUAUAGAAGUGUUUUGAAAAUAGAGCAAUCCAUAGAUAAAUCUUUAAUUAAAAAGGCAUAUAUUGGAUCAAAAUAUCAUUUAUUUUACCAAUAUUUCAGUUGACUGAACGCCAACCUUUAUCAAGGUGUUAUAACAUUUUAAAGUGUGUCAACAACAAACUCAGCGCCACAUAACGUCAACUCAUAGAUAAAUAAGUGGACUUUAUGUGGCGCUGAGUUUGUUGUUGACACACUUUAAAAUGUUAUAACACCUUGAUAAAAGUUGGCGUUCAGGCAACUGAAAUAUUGGUAAAAUAAAUGAUAUUUUGAUCCAAUAUAUGCCUUUUUAAUUAAAAAUAUAGAAGUGUUUUGUUACAAGGUACGUCAUAUUAAGAUAAUUGAUGAAGGCACUAGUUCUGAAAGCUAGUGUUUAAUUUGAUAAAGUAACAGAUAGUUAUAACGUAUAUCGUUGAUAUUUUCACCAUUGCGCGCCCACUUGAUAAAUUCAUAUUAUUUGAUUAGCUAUGUGCAAACUGAUGGUUUCCUAGACCGAUGUCUGUACGCCACAGAGCUGUACACAACUGCUAAAAUACAUGAUUAUAAUUUCUCAAUGAUUUUUAUAUAGUUUUCUAGGAUAUUUUAUUUUUAUAACUGGAAUCUUCAAUGCCAUUAGGAUUGCAUUAGCCUUUUAAUUGAUAUGCAAUUUUUACAAUUGCUAACCUCUACUCCAUUAGGAUUGCCUUCGUUUUUAAAUUGAUUUAUAAUCUCCAUAUGAGACUACACUCAUGGACACAUUUUAAGAAAGUGAAAAGUCUUUGAUGUUGCCAAAUCUCUUGAUUUUUUAAAGAAUACAAAGGCAACUUUGUUCACACUUGGUUAUCUCGUGUGUCUUCACAAUAAAGGUCACUGUUAUAUCUUUCAGAGUUAUUGUAUGAAUACAGAUAUACAUGGUAAAUAGUAAAACUUCCUUAAGUUUUGUCCAUGUAUGUAAAUGCUAGUUGUCUUCAGACUUUCCUGGUGUCGCGACAGAUGUCCUUCUACCUAUGUCAAACAGAAGAGGAGAGAGAGACUAGAUACUUUACGUUUUGGUGACAAAAUAUUUAGUUAUAAGACACAGCGUGGAGAAGAGAAAGAUGAAAAGUAUAUAUCUUGAAAUAAUGACACAAAAUAUAUUAAAUACAUAUAUACAGUUAAACCUAUCUAUAGCGCCCUCCUCUUGGGACUCGCCAAAAUAGGUUGCUAUAGAGAGGGGGUGCUAUAGACAGGUCACCUUUUAAUGUAAAUCGCAUCGUACUACGUAUUUAAAAUCGGGCGCUAUAGUGAGGAAGGCGCUAUUUAGAGGGGGGCGCUAUAGACAGGUUUAACUGUACUAUUCUAGAAUAGUAUUUAAUAAGAAUAUAUAUACGACCGUAAUAUUAAUAGGAAAAUAAGAGAAUUUAUCUUGAAAAAUGAUUAUUUCACACCAAAUUAUACCUUUGAGAAACCAAAUUACAUACUUCGCCUCAGUACAAUGAUAACAAAAAAAACCUUGCCGAAAUCAUCAGCUGCAAAUCUAACAAAGAAAGCUUUCAUCCCGACAGUCAUGCAUCAACUACCUGCCAAAAAUAUAAAAAAAGGGUUGAAAUGUCGUGAGGACCACUUUGCAUAGACGUCUAUCACUAUGCUAAAGAGUACAUUAUGCAAAUUUGUGAAACGUUUGCGUGUCUUUUCUUUUAGACCUUGUCGUUUGUGCAGCGGAAAUAAUGAGGAGUGUCGUCAUUGUUUGAUAGCUCUUGUCAGCCUACUUCGCUCGUGCUGGAAACUUAAGGUGGACAUCUUGGGGAGAGAAAUGUAGCAAUCUUUGGAGCUAUCUAUCCUCAAAUAUCAACGAUAAAAGAAUUUAGUCGAUUCUCAUAAUAAAUAUGGUUAUUGAAGAAGCUCAAAUCAGGGGGAAGAGAUCCUUUGUAUAAGCGCUUCUCUUCGACCUGUUUCUGCUUCUAUAAGCAAAUAGGAAUCUUAUCAUUGUCUUAAUAUGGUUAUUACAUAUUCCCUUUCAUUUAUAUGUAAUUGCGGUUUAAUGCUUUUUGUAAGAUUUCUAGAUGCAAAUUUAAAAAUUCGAAAUAUUGUUCUAUUUGCAUACUGACAGAACAUUAGAACAAAACCGAAUUGAAUCUAUAAAAAGGUUGUGAUAAAGAUUAUAAAAAGAUUUUAAAAAGAAAAGGAUUUUACAAUAUAUAUAUAUAACAUAUCGUUAUAUUAUAGUAAACACAUAAGUCAUAGCAAAUUUAUCAAAUUUUGAUUCAUGACAAUUGAUU